rnacentral:rRNA from 1 species
GAUGAACGCUGGCGGCGUGCUUAACACAUGCAAGUCGAACGGAGUGCCUUUGAAAGAGGAUUCGUCCAAUUGAUAAGGUUACUUAGUGGCGGACGGGUGAGUAACGCGUGAGGAACCUGCCUUGGAGUGGGGAAUAACACAGUGAAAAUUGUGCUAAUACCGCAUGAUGCAGUUGGGCCGCAUGGCUCUGACUGCCAAAGAUUUAUCGCUCUGAGAUGGCCUCGCGUCUGAUUAGCUAGUUGGUGAGGUAACGGCCCACCAAGGCGACGAUUGGUAGCCGGACUGAGAGGUUGAACGGCCACAUUGGGACUGAGACACAGCCCAG